rnacentral:rRNA from 1 species
AAUAGAUACCCGGUAGUCCACGCCGUAAACGAUGAGUGCUAGGUGUUGGGGGACUAGCGCCCUCAGUGCCGAAGGAAACCCAAUAAGCACUCCGCCCGGGGAGUACGGCCGCAAGGCUGAAACUCAAAGGAAUUGACGGGGGCCCGCACAAGCGGUGGAGCAUGUGGUUUAAUUCGAUGCAACGCGAAGAACCUUACCAGGGCUUGACAUCCCGCUGAAGGCGCCAGAGAUGGCGCUGUCCUUCGGGACAGCGGUGACAGGUGGUGCAUGGUUGUCGUCAGCUCGUGUCGUGAGAUGUUGGGUUCAGUCCCGCAACGAGCGCAACCCUUAUCUUUAGUUGCCAGCAUUCAGUUGGGCACUCUAGAGGGACAGCCGGUGAAAGCCGGAGGAAGGUGGGGAUGACGUCAAAUCAUCAUGCCCCUUAUGUCCUGGGCUACACACGUGCUACAAUGGCUGGUACAAUGGGUCGCGAAACCGCGAGGUGGAGCCAAUCCCACAAAGCCAGUCUCAGUUCGGAUCGCG